ACAGUUCGGUGGGGCCUCAACUGACAUAGUUCUGCCCAGCUGUUUAGUUGCCCUGGGAGACUGAUCUUGGGUCGGCAUAGGUGCCAUAGGUCCUGUGGAGAGGAUUGAGAUUAGAUUGUUGUGACUGAGGAUUUCCAGCUCUAGACACUGUGGUCUAGACAUCAUUCUCUCAUCAUGCCCCAGCUCAGCAUCCUUGAAUUAAAGAACAAAGUUUAAGUUAAGGACAGGCAGAGGACAAGCGGAGGAAGGGUGUCAACGCGGCAGCUCAAGUGCAGCUUUCCAGAUGUUUUGCAAAGGAUGUGAGAUCAUUCUUCUAAAGUCAAAGACAAUCUUGACACAAAGUAACCCCAGUGUCAACAAGAUACCUUUGUCUAUCGAGAAAACAAACACACACACAUAUUCAGACAAACAAAUCAUCAGUUUACAUCGUGUGAGUUACUUCCAACGAGAUAACAUGCCACAUUAUAUUGGUGUAUUUUCUUAUACAUGACAUUAAAAGAAAUGUCCUAACUUGA